rnacentral:tRNA from 1 species
UCUCUGCUAGUAUAUCGGUUAGUACACGCGCCUGUCAUUGAUUCAUAACGGACGCGCGAAAGCUGGGUUCGACUCCCAGGCAGAGAG